rnacentral:rRNA from 1 species
GGGAACUACGAGCCAAGCUUAAAACCCAAAGGACUUGACGGUACCCCACAUCCCCCUAGAGGAGCCUGUCCUGUAAUCGAUAACCCCCGUUUAACCUCACCAUUUCUAGCAACUCAGCCUGUAUACCUCCGUCGUCAGCUUACCACGUGAGCGCUAGUAAGCUCAAUGUUUUUUCAACUAAACGUCAGGUCAAGGUGCAACACAUGAAAUGGGAAGAGAUGGGCUACACUUUCUAACAUAGACCACACGGAAGACUAACUAUGAAAUCUAGUCAGAAGG